rnacentral:rRNA from 1 species
CCCAGACUCCUACGGGAGGCAGCAGUGGGGAAUAUUGCACAAUGGGGGAAACCCUGAUGCAGCGACGCCGCGUGAAGGAAGAAGUAUUUCGGUAUGUAAACUUCUAUCAGCAGGGAAGAAAAUGACGGUACCUGACUAAGAAGCCCCGGCUAACUACGUGCCAGCAGCCGCGGUAAUACGUAGGGGGCAAGCGUUAUCCGGAUUUACUGGGUGUAAAGGGAGCGUAGGCGGCGAUGCAAGUCAGAAGUGAAAGCCCGGGGCCCAACUCCGGGACUGCUCUGGAAACUGCGUCGCUGGAGUACGGGAGGGGCAGGCGGAAUUCCUGGUGUAGCGGUGAAAUGCGUAGAUAUCAGGAGGAACACCGGUGGCGAAGGCGGCCUGCUGGACUGCAACUGACGUUGAGGCCCGAAAGCGUGGGGAGCAAACAGGAUUAGAUACCCCCGUAGC